AAAGAAACUCUGCACUUACACAAUUAGAUACCAUAGUUACAAUAAAGUUGCAAGCUCUUAAAGAAAUGAAGGAAGAAAUUAAAGGUAAGUUGUCGAUGAAAUUCUCCGAAAGGGAAAUGCAAAUGAUUUUCCUCAGCAUGCCUAUCGUUUUGAUAUCCUUUCCUGUUUGAAAUACAAACACCUUUGUAAAAGGUUACGCCAUGAUUUGGUAACUUUUUACAGACGUUUCCCAAGGAACAUUAC